rnacentral:misc_RNA from 1 species
GUGAACGCCCUCACGGGCUUCUUAUACUAUUCCAAACCUCUGUGAACCGUGCCCUUCGGGGCUAUUUUACAAACAUGGUGUAAUGAACGUCAUAUAUCAUAACAAAACA